AGUGAACGCUGGCGGUAGGCCUAACACAUGCAAGUCGAACGGCAGCACAGUAAGAGCUUGCUCUUAUGGGUGGCGAGUGGCGGACGGGUGAGGAAUACAUCGGAACCUACUUUUUCGUGGGGGAUAACGUAGGGAAACUUACGCUAAUACCGCAUACGAUCCACGGGUGUAAGCAUGGGAUCUUCGGACCUUGCGCGAUUGAAUGCGCCGAUGUCGGAUUAGCUAGUUGGCGGGGUAAAGGCCCACGAAGGCGACGAUCCGUAGCUGGUCUGAGAGGAUGAUCGGCCACACUAGAACUGAGACAGGGACCAGGCUCCUGCGAGACGCAGCAGUCGGGAAUGUUAGGCAGUGGGCGCAAACCUGAUCCAGCCAUACCGCGUGGGUGAAGGAAGCCUUCCGGUUGUGAAGCCCUUUUGUUGGGAAAGAAAAGCAGCAGGUUAAUACCCAGCUGUUCUGACGGUACCCAAUAAAUAAGCACCGGCUAACUUCGUG
rnacentral:rRNA from 1 species